rnacentral:rRNA from 1 species
GACGAAGGAUGCAGGCGUUAUCCGGAUUCAUUGGGUUUAAAGGGAGCGUAGGCGGACUUGUAAGUCAGUGGUGAAAUCUGUGGGCUUAACCCACAAACUGCCAUUGAUACUGCAGGUCUAGAGUACAGUUGCCGUUGGCGGAAUAUGACAUGUAGUGGUGAAAUACUUAGAUAUGUCAUAGAACACCGAUUGCGAAGGCAGCUAACGAAGCUGUAACUGACGCUGAGGCUCGAAAAGUGCGGGGAUCAAACAGG